rnacentral:tRNA from 1 species
AGGGCAGCUUGGUAGAGCACUUGGUUUGGGACCAAGGGGUCGCAGGUUCGAAUCCUGUCUUCCCGACCA